rnacentral:rRNA from 1 species
UGCAAGUCGAGGGGUAGCGGGUGUAGCAAUACAUGCCGACGACCGGCGCACGGGUGAGUAACGCGUAUGCAACCUACCUUUAACAGGGGGAUAGCUCGGGGAAACCCGGAUUAAUACACCAUAACAUUAGACUGGGGCAUCCUGGUUUAAUCAAAGCUGAGGCGGUUAAAGAUGGGCAUGCGUGCCAUUAGCUAGUUGGUGAGGUAACGGCCCACCAAGGCUACGAUGGCUAGGAGGUCUUAAAGGAUGAUCUCCCACACUGGUACUGAGACACGGACCAGACUCCUACGGGAGGCAGCAGUGAGGAAUAUUGGGCAAUGGGCGCGAGCCUGACCCAGCCAAGCCGCGUGAAGGAUGAAGGCUCUAGUAGUCGUAAACUUCUUUUGUAGGGGACGAAAAUGCGCUACGCGUUAGCACACUGACGGUACUCUACGAAUAAGCAUCGGCUAACUCCGUGCCAGCAGCCGCGGUAAUACGGAGGAUGCAGGCGUCAUCCGGAUUUAUUAGGUUUAAAGGGUGCGUAGGCGGAUUAUUAAGUCAGUGGUGAAAUACUCCAGCUUAACUGGGGAACUGCCAUUGAUACUGAUGGUCUUGAAUGCAGUUGAGGUAUGCGGAAUGUGCAGUGUAGCGGUGAAAUGCUUAGAUAUUGCACAGAACACCGAUUGCGAAGGCAGCAUACUAAACUGUGAUUGACGCUGAUGCACGAAAGCGUGGGGAUCAAACAGGAUUAGAUACCCUGGUAGUCCACGCCGUAAACGAUGAUCACUCGCUGUUGGCGAUACACAGUCAGCGGCUAAGCGAAAGCAUUAAGUGAUCCACCUGGGAAGUACGACCGCAAGGUUGAAACUCAAAGGAAUUGACGGGGGCCCGCACAAGCGGAGGAACAUGUGGUUUAAUUCGAUGAUACGCGAGGAACCUUACCUGGGCUUAAAUGAGACCGGACUGUGGUGGAAACAUUACAUCUCUUCGGAGCUGGUUUCAAGGUGCUGCAUGGCUGUCGUCAGCUCGUGCCGUGAGGUGUCGGGUUAAGUCCCAUAACGAGCGCAACCCCUAUCAUUAGUUGCCAGCGGGUAAUGCCGGGAACUCUAAUGAGACUGCCAGCGUAAGCUGUGAGGAAGGUGGGGAUGACGUCAAGUCAGCACGGCCCUUACGCCCAGGGCUACACACGUGUUACAAUGGCCGGUACAAAGGGCAGCUACUUGGUGACAAGAUGCUAAUCUCAAAAGCCGGUCUUAGUUCGGAUCGAAGUCUGCAACCCGACUUCGUGAAGCUGGAUUCGCUAGUAAUCGUACAUCAGCAAUGGUACGGUGAAUACGUUCCCGGGCCUUGUACACACCGCCCGUCAAGCCAUGGAAGCUGGGGGUACCUAAAGUCCGCAACCGUAAGGAGCGGCCUAGGGUAAAACCAGUGACUGGGGCUAAGUCGAAACAAGGUA